ACAGGCUAGCCCUACAGUUAGUUCCCUUCCCUGGUGUCGUUGGACCUGACCAGUCGCCCACUGGCUCUUACAACAUCGCUGCUAGGCUUUUGAAACAUUUAGGCUACAUACCUAUACAUAUAACAUAUUUAGAUUUGAAGCCUAAUAUGGGUGUUCUUGAGCACAUCAAUAAGAUCAUAGAGAAAAUAAAAUUGGCUGUGAAAAGUAUUGAAGAUUGAAUUCAGUUUUUAGAGUAUAUUUAUUUCUUUAUCCACUUAAAAAUUAAUAAAGAAAUUUUGUUUUAAUGUGAA
rnacentral:sRNA from 1 species